CGCAGCCGCGGUAAUUCCAGCUCCAAUAGCGUAUAUUAAAGUUGUUGCAGUUAAAAAAGCUCGUAGUUGAAUUUCGGAAUUUGUCGGUUGGUCGGGCUUCACUGUCCGCACUGGCCUGAUGAAUUCCUACCUUCUGAAUAACCAGCAUGCUAUUAAUUUAGUGCGUUGGGGAAGCAGAGCUAUUACCUUAGAAAAAAUUAGAGUGCUUAAAGCAGGCUCACGCUUGAAUAGAUUAG
rnacentral:rRNA from 1 species